CCCCGAAUGGCGAAUGUCCUGCAGAGCGUCCGAGGAGUCCGGUCUGUGAAGGAGCUCUGGACGCAGCACCGCGCCGUGGAGGAGUACCGCCAGGAAUUCAUCUCCCGCUGGAGGAAGGAGAAGUUGGACGCGCUCGUCUGUCCUAUUCUGGGUCCGGCUUUGUCCAUCGGAUAUCCUGGCAAGU